rnacentral:rRNA from 1 species
UACGUAGGGUGCAAGCGUUGUCCGGAAUUAUUGGGCGUAAAGAGCGUGUAGGCGGCCCGGUUAGUCCGCUGUGAAAGUCCAGGGCUCAACCCUGGAAUGCCGGUGGAUACUGUCGGGCUAGAGUGCGGAAGAGGCGAGUGGAACUCCUGGUGUAGCGGUGAAAUGCGCAGAUAUCGGGAAGAACACCGUGGCGAAGGCGGCUCUCUGGGACGGUACUGACGCUGAGACGGCGAAAGCGUGGGGAGCGAACAGG